rnacentral:lncRNA from 1 species
UGGAGCGCGAGGGAGUGUCAUAAAGCGACGUAUAUGUAUGUGUGUAUGUAAAAUUCAGCUCCAUAUCGGUAAAGCUAUGUAAUUGGAGUUAUUAUGACGUUAGACAUUCCAUCAUAGACAUUGUGACCUAAAAUUUUGACAUUGGUUGAGAAGGAAAUGUGACGUCAUGUUAAAUAUGGCAACUAAGCAUUAGUUAUUAAAAAGAAUAUCAACGACGGAUCACUUUAGUGUGAUAAUACCGAGUGACAAACAUCCAGACAGGAACUGAGAAUACAAUUUCGUCGGACUGCACUGUACAAAAAGGAGAAAAUGGAAAAUGAAGGAAACAAGUAGAGAAGCAUAUCGUGCUCUUCAGUAAAAAUUGGAAUAUUUAAUUCUCAAAAGGCUCCAAACGCAAAAAUUCGUGAUUAUUAGUUUCCCGCAUAUUUAUCACGAGUUUUGCAGCUCACAAAGUCUAAGGACCUUUCGUUAAUAAAAAUUAUAGUUGACCUCCUCGUGUUCUUUUUUCUGUCACGUGUGAAAAGUGGACAAACAUUUACAAGACGCUGUCGGAGCUUGGCACUUUUAGACAUCGGCAAUUAAUUUCAAUUCAUUCAUUGAACUUAAGAAACAAAGUGUAGUGUUAAGAUGUUUUACACGUGAGUGCAACACAAUAUAGAAUGUACUACAAAAGUGAAAGUACAAGUAUAGUACUACAAAAUUCGAAGUCACGCAAACAGUCCAGAGUCUUUUAAAGUGUGGAGAUAUAAUGGUUUCACUAUGGGAACUCUCAGCGUCACUUCUUACAGUCAAAUUUGUAUUUAUUUACAUGUCAAGUGAAGCAUUUUCCGUCAAAAUGAAGGCCCCAAAUGAAGCUCUGGAAUUUUUGAAGAAUGACAUAGAUAAAAUGAAAAAUGCUGAGACUGAGCGGCUCGAGGCAUUACAAGCUGUCCUUUCAAAUUCAAGACUGGUGGCGGAUUUAAACAUGAAGGAGCUAUUGCAUCUAAUGACGUUCCAAGAUGAAAUUCUCACCGACAUUCGAUAUACACUGGAAGGUAUGCUUUGGGCCUUUGGAGUUGCCAAUCAGGUUGAAUUUACGAGACUCGUUGAGAAACUAAGAGGUCAAAUACGACUAAUGGAUUCAAAUGAACCCGAGAUCAAGAAAAAAGGGAAAGCACUUCCAUCAGACCUCUUACAGGUUGAUGAGUUAAAAAAAUUAAUGAAUGCACUUAAAACGGAUUAUGUUUGCGUAACUGCCACUAUAGGCGCAGUUAAAGCAAUGAGUCCGGUUGAAAUAUGAAAUUGGAAGCUUCUUAAUGCCAAAAAGAUCUCUCGCGGGCAAAAGAUUCAGGGAAAACUGGCAGGUCUGAGCUCAACUAACGCUACAACCUAUUACGCGCAGUGCUGUACGCGGUUGCCUGGUUUGAUGGUGAUAUCUACGAAAGCUAAAAGCAUCGAAUGUAGUCAAGAACUAUGUGUAUUGAAAAAACUGGUAUAUUUUCAAUAGAUAAUUUUUUAAGAAUUAAUUCAAGAGUAGUUUUUUAGGAGACCCUCUUCGGGCGCAUAGAGAAUUUGCACGCACAAUUUUCAUUCAUCUGAGAGUGCUGAAAGAGCAGAUUUAAUAAUAUUUGUUAUGAUUUUUUUGGAUUUGGGAAAUAGUAUAAAAAUAGAAUUAAAAAAGAAAAGAUUAACAGCUUAUUAUGACGUCAUCUGGCGGCAAUGCCCAUUCAAACACAUGCAUUUUAGCAGAUUAGAUAAUUUUGUUACAACUCCUCCAAAAACAGUUCAAUUUAUGAACCAAGGCUAUCCUCGUGUUCAGCUCACUUCUUAGUUUUUGUUUCGACACGAAAUUCAUCAAAUUUCAGCUACCUGCAAAUUCUCCUUUAGAAUCUAUGGGAGGUAACAUCGCAGUGACAAAAAAGUGUGCUAUAACUUUUAGAGUACGCCCAUUUUUCCUUGUCAAUGUUUUUAAGAGCCUGGACUCCAGAUCCAAGCUAAUUUUUUUCCAGUGAGCGUAUUUUGCAAAAUAUUUGCCCGAUCUGGCAACGCCGUUACAUCUGCAUGAAGAGGGCUUGAAAAGGCACGAACCGGGGAGUGAUAUACUAUAUUGGAUAUGGCACUGUAUCGUAUUAGAGUUAUUCACCGAGGCAGAGACGUCGCCCAUCAAGACGCGUCUCAUCUCAUGAUCUCGCGGGAGGAUUAAAUUUAUACGAAUUUAUUGAUAUUGACUCCAUUUUCUGAGAUCGCGGGGAUUCUCGGGUAUUAAAUAAGUCCGGGAACAUCAUCCAUUAAGUCACGGAGAAACGAGGAGCUAUAUACUCCUUUCGAACGAUUAGCAGCUACUUCAUAUGGAUUGCAUUUUGCAAAAAGGAACUACUAGCAUUGCAAUGUUGCUAAGAUUGUGCAACUUCUUUUGUCUUGGAGGAAAAACCCGAUUAUCCAUUAAUAGUUUCUAUUUUACUUACUAAAAACUGGAAAUUUAAGACAAAAAUUACCAUCUAAAUUUCAUAGUUUUUCACGAUUUCCGCAAUUUUAUUGCAAAGGAUGGAGUUGCACAAUCUUAGCAUCAUUGCAAUGCUAGUGGUUCCUUUUUGCAAAAUGCAAUCCAUAUACACUUCAAUCCUAGUCUGAUAGGCUCUGAAAGUAUGCCUACUAAUCAGCGGGCCGAUUAUUGAAAUUGAUAGACAAAGCUAUAGACAAAGAUGACAAAAGGUAUAUGGAGGGAACCUUUUGGUGGAAGUUGGUAGUUGCAAUGGACAAAGGCAGUAGGUAAUAGACUAACUAACGGCAACUCACGAGAAACCCAACAGUUAGUCCAUCAUUUUCUCCCUUAGUCUAUAAGAAUCACAUAUUUCGACCAAUAGGAUCGCUCCGUACUCUCUAUGUCUUCUUCGUCUAUAGCUUUGUCCAUCAAUUUCAAUAAUCAGCCCACUGUGGUCCAUUUCCACUCCUCAGAUGCACUUGAGGAUAUCAAAAAGAGGCGAGAUGUUCAAAUCGCAACCGGUUCGAAUCCACCGUGUCCGAGUAUCUAAAAGCGGCUUGGGGAGUAUAGGUCAGAUCUCGGUCUUGAACGCAUCAACAUGCAAAGGGAUUCCACACAUUUCGACAAAUAGGAUCGCUCCAUGCCCUCUAUGUCCUCUUUGUCUAUAGCUUUUUCUAUCAAUUUCAAUAUUCAACCCGCAUAGAGAUAAUUUGGACGUGCAGACUAAAAAUAACUGAACCGGCUCGUUCGAAAACGUCCGAUGUUCCUUACAGUGUUUAAGAAUUCGAGUGAGCGAUUCCGUUGUAAUUUACAGACACACGACGGUUUAAGAUGUUCGGAAUGUAGAAUAAUUUUAUAAAAAAAUCCCCUGAGUAAAAUUAAACGUUUAUUAAAGAGAUGGAUACAAAUUUUUACGAAGCAGCCUGAGACAAUGGUAUAACAGGAGAAAAGUAGACCCUGUAACGAAUAGAGGCACACUUCAGUUGUUACUUCCUAGAAAUCGUUGAAUCCAGGAAUAUUUUAUAAAUCUUAAAUAAAACUCAAAAUAUCCGAACGCAAAAUGCUCUAUUCAAUUUGUCAAAUCGGAAGAUAAGUAUCGAGUGCGGAUACUUUAAGCGUCCAUUUAGAUUUUAAACAUUCGCAUUUUUUUUGUGAAUUGAUAACUGCAAUAUUAAUUACUUUCAUUGACUAUUCAGUGAUCCGUAUCUGAUGUGUGCAGUGAUCCCAUUUUUUCAACUUCCAUCAUGUUUAACCACGCUUUCUUCGAACUAGGCUUGGAUUCAAGCCAACUGGUGAAAUGAAAAAUGUCGGUGUAAAGCAAAUAGACAUGAAACUGUGCAUAGGAUCAACGAAAGAGGGCAAAAAGGAUGUUGAAUGAAGAGGCCGAAGGAAAAAUGGAACUCACCUGAAACUUGUCAUGGUGUAAGUUGAGGAAGCGUUUGACUCUGGCGGUAUCAUUUGUGCGGAUGGCAGUCUCUAACUCGACGCCGAUAUUCUCCGCAAGUCCAACAGACGAUUCUAGGCUGCUCAACACACAAAAAAGACGAAUAUCACUCAGAGAGUUAUUAUUAUUAUCAAAUAUGAUACGUUCUUGUAACACAUUCUACCCCGUAAAGAUAAUAAUAGUAUGUUACCAUAUCAAACAAUAAACGAGAAAAACACUGAGAAAUGGCCUGAACCGCACGUAACAAGGUGGAGAAAUGGUGCUGGGUCCACACCAUGUCGCGGGGAAAACAAAGCCGAAAAGUUCCGAAAAUUUCAAUUAGAAUCAAAAGUGUUGUACUGGUACUCAUUAGAGCUCCAACAAUUUUUUGACUCUGAUUGAAAUUUUCGGGUUUGAUUUCCCCGCGAAAUCGAGUGGACCCAGCACCAUUUCUCCAUCUUGUCAUAUAGGAAAUCGAGUCAACUUUGCCUUUAUUUUCGAGUAAAAUUUGACUGUAUUGCAAUGGAGAAUUUGCACGAAAAAAUUUCAUUGCUGUAUCGGAGAGUGCUUAAUGAGCCGAGUUCACAGUAAUUUUCAUGAAUUUAUUCUGAUAGAAAAUUGUAGAGAAGUAGAUUUAAAUGUGAGGAAAUGUACCGCUUUGUGAUGUCAUCUAGCGAAUUUCCCAUCUAAACACAUGGGUUUUAGGUCAUAAGGUUAUUUUUUCAUAUCUCCUCCGAUUCGUUGCUUCUCUGACGCAAGGUCGUAUCUCUAUUUGAACGUGAGCCUGUUCUCCAUAUAACUCCAUGCUUUCCGUAGCUCAUGUGGAAAUCGAGAUACACUGAAAAAAAAAGAAUCUUAAAUUUGCCGCCAAGAAGUAUUUCUUCUUAAAUCAAGAAUUUUGCUGGUUAAUAUAAGCUACUUUUUUGCUUAACCCAAGCAUUAUUUUUCUUGAAUCAAGAAAAAGCCAGCUCAAAGCAAGUUCAUGAAAAUUCUUGGCGGCAAAUUCAAGAAUUAUCAUGCUUGAUCAAAGCUACUUUUUUUUCAGUGUACGCUCUUACGUCAGAGGGGCGACGAAUUGUUCAAUAAAAAAACAAACUACAUUUUCCUGUUUACUUCUCUUAGUUAAUCGUGAAAUUCAGCAAAUGUCAGGCAUCUGCAAAUGGGUCAGUUACGCUGGUUACAGAAUUUUGUUUUGAUACUUGAUUCCUGAAGAUUCGCUAAAAAUAAUAGGAUCGUUCCGAACAUCAACUUUCUACGUUGAAUGUUAACCGAGAUAUUACGCUUUGGAAAGUUCGGUUCAUGACGUCAUCCACCGCAGUGGUGACACCCUUGAUUUCUUUCACAUAGUUUUGAUCAGUCAGGGAAACACACAUUUGCACCGGUUACUAAGCGUGUAACUCGGAUGAAAGGAAAGCGAAAGAAACCAAGGGUGUUACGACCGCGGUGUCUGACGUCACAAACCGAAUUUUUCGAAGCGCGUAAAUAUUGGGCGCAAUUACUGUUGAACCUAAAACAAGCGGGAAAGUUCUAAUACUGUCGUAUCAGAAAAGCGCUCAGGUGUUAGUCUAUGUACUUAGUGAAGAAUAUAAAAUUUUAUAUAGUUACACAUUUCUUUAUUUGCCCUUCUGAAUUUACAUUGUUAAUAAUUGAUUAAUAAUAUUGUUAAUAUACGUAGUUCCUAU